CACGUAGGCACCAAGCGUUGUCCGGAUUUAUUGGGCGUAAAGAGCUCGUAGGCGGUUCGGUAAGUCGGGUGUGAAAACUCUGGGCUCAACCCAGAGCCGCCACCCGAUACUGCUGUGACUUGAGUUCGGUAGGGGAGCGGGGAAUUCCUGGUGUAGCGGUGAGAUGCGCAGAUAUCAGGAGGAACACCAGUGGCGAAGGCGCCGCUCUGGGCCGAGACUGACGCUGAGGAGCGAAAGCGUGGGUAGCAAACAGG
rnacentral:rRNA from 1 species